GACGAACGCUGGCGGCGUGCUUAACACAUGCAAGUCGAGCGGAAAGGCCCUUUCGGGGUACUCGAGCGGCGAACGGGUGAGUAACACGUGAGUAAUCUGCCCUUGGCUUUGGGAUAACCACCGGAAACGGUGGCUAAUACCGGAUAUGACGGGCUCCGGCAUCGGGGUUCGUGGAAAGUUUUUCGGCCAGGGAUGUGCUCGCGGCCUAUCAGCUUGUUGGUGGGGUAAUGGCCUACCAAGGCUUCGACGGGUAGCCGGCCUGAGAGGGUGACCGGCCACACUGGGACUGAGACACGGCCCAGACUCCUACGGGAGGCAGCAGUGGGGAAUAUUGGACAAUGGGCGGAAGCCUGAUCCAGCAACGCCGCGUGAGGGAUGACGGCC
rnacentral:rRNA from 1 species